rnacentral:lncRNA from 1 species
AGGUGCCAGGAUCCCACACAGUUGUGCUUAUUCAUUUCCUGGCUACUGCCCAAUUUGUUGGUUUUUUAUUUUUUUUAAUUUUUUUUAAUUUUUUUUUCCAACGUUUAUUUAUUUUUGGGACAGAGAGAGACAGAGCAUGAACGGGCGAGAGGCAGAGAGAGAGGGAGACACAGAAUCGGAAACAGGCUCCAGGCUCUGAGCCAUCAGCCCAGAGCCCGACGCGGGGCUCGAACUCACGGACCGCGAGAUCGUGACCUGGCUGAAGUCGGACGCUUAACCGACUGCGCCACCCAGGCGCCCCUGUUGGUUUUUGAAUCAUGGAGAAUGUUGACCCCUAGGAGCACCUCUCUCAACGAGAACUAUCUCACGUAUCAUGCUCCUUUGCCAUCACAAUAGAAAUAGAAUUUGAUUAAAGAACUAUUGAUUGGGGUGCCUGGAUGGCUCUAACUCAGGUAAGCAUCUGACUCGUGAAUUCGGCUUAGAGUAUCACUCCAGGGUCAUGGGAUCAAGCCCCUCAUUUAUUCUCUCUCUCUCUCUCUCUCUCUCUCUCUCUCUCCCUCUGCUCCUCUUCUCCACUCAUGUUCUCUCUCUCUCUCUAAAAUAAAAAAAUAAAUAUAAAAAAAGAAUUAUUGAUA